rnacentral:other from 1 species
UUUGUCCUGCUCGGUGCGUGACGGGCUUUAUUUAAACCCACAUCUCUCAAACGGGAUGCCAGAUUACCGCGUGGAUUGCAGGCCUCCCGGCCCCCAAUACGGGACGUUGGAAGUUGGAAGCAGAGAAGCGCGGUGGAGGCAACCCACCUGCCGAAUGCGUGCAGGUUUUAAAUGGGUCCGCACGGCCAGAGCGGGUAUCUG